rnacentral:rRNA from 1 species
CCGGGGCUUAGUGCCGGAGCUAACGCAAUAAGCACUCCGCCUGGGGAGUACGACCGCAAGGUUGAAACUCAAAGGAAUUGACGGGGGCCCGCACAAGCGGUGGAGCAUGUGGUUUAAUUCGAAGCAACGCGAAGAACCUUACCAGGUCUUGACAUCCCGAUGCUAUUCUUAGAGAUAGGAAGUUACUUCGGUACAUCGGAGACAGGUGGUGCAUGGUUGUCGUCAGCUCGUGUCGUGAGAUGUUGGGUUAAGUCCCGCAACGAGCGCAACCCUUAUUGUUAGUUGCCAUCAUUAAGUUGGGCACUCUAGCGAGACUGCCGGUAAUAAACCGGAGGAAGGUGGGGAUGACGUCAAAUCAUCAUGCCCCUUAUGACCUGGGCUACACACGUGCUACAAUGGUCGGUACAACGAGUUGCGAGCCGGUGACGGCAAGCUAAUCUCUGAAAGCCGAUCUCAGUUCGGAUUGGAGGCUGCAACUCGCCUCCAUGAAGUCGGAAUCGCUAGUAAUCGCGGAUCAGCACGCCGCGGUGAAUACGUUCCCGGGCCUUGUACACACCGCCCGUCACACCACGAGAGUUUGUAACACCCGAAGUC